CCUGGAGGCCCAGGGUCCCUCCUUCCCAGCGGAGCCGCCUGGAGCCCGAAGCCCCGAGGGGCCUGAGCCUGAGGCUGAGGCAGGGAGCUCUCAGCUGGGAUGCGGACUGGCGAGGACUCCUGGCUUCCGCCGGGACCUGCGCCUCAGCUGUCCAACGAUGGUGUCGGCUCGAGGCUUCCUUCUCCCUCUAAAGUUCGGCGCCUAAACACUGAGAAGAGUCUGGAAUUCAGAAAGCGCCUGUUCACUAACCACUUGUGGAUGGUCCCUAUGACGGUGCCAGGAUGAAAUUUUAAUAAGACGGACCAGAGAGAAAAAUAAAAGCCAACGUGUCAUUCAAGAACCCUCGGGUUCGCUCUUCAUACACCCUAGAUGAAGCACUGUCUGCCGAACUCCCGGCUGUUCUUUAAAGGAUGCAGAACGUCCACUGGGACAUUGGCAAGACUAUAAUAACCGUAGUUUAUUAUCCUAAGUGUGAUGAGGGUAUCAUUUUAAAACAGAAAAGUGCCUAACUGCUGGGUAUGGUGGUACACUCCUAUAAUCUCGGCCAACCCGGAGGUUUAUGCAGGAGGCUCACAAGUUCUAGGCCACCCUGGGCAAUUUAGGGACGCUUGUUCUCAAAUAGCUAGGUGUGGUGGUGCAAGCCUGUAAUCCCUGCCCUCUGGAGGCUGAGACAGGGGGAUCGUCUCGAGGUAGAGGCCGGCUUGAACUGCACGGCGACACCAAAAACAUUUUUUUUGAAAAAGUCAUCAUCAAAUUAAACAACUCCUACGUUGUAUUGGAUUUGGGGUAUGACGACGGAAAGGGGAUGUCCCUUAAACAAGAGAGACAACCUGAAACCACGUCUUCGCACUUGCAGCUCCCUUCCCUUGGCAUUCACGGUCUUCUCUGUCUCGCUCAGCUUCUAACUCGCUCCCCUUUCCAUGCCCUCGCAGCACGUACAGAGUGCGCCUUUGUUCAGUCUAGAGUGUCGCUGCUGUGUGUCUCUGAAACUAUUUUCCAUGGACUCGCCUGUGAUCUUUCUAAAACCAAAACAAGAACAGACUGCGAAAAGGAAACCAUGCCCUGAUGUGCUGAUAACCUUAUCUUCCGUCAGUUUCACCGAGAGACAGAAUGAAACAGCUCGCGUACACUUGCAAAUCUGCUCACAGAUUCACUUCCUGUUUCACAACCUAAUCUCGGAUGGUACCGCGGGCCCACAGUGUGCAGGUCACCGCCAACUCAGAUGAAGUCAGAUAAAAAGAGCUGGCUUGCUUGUGUGUGUUUCAAAAGGACCUGACAGAGUGAGAAGUCAGAGGGAGGCAACAUUGCCUCCAGUUGGUUUUUAAAUAACACUGGUAGCAUAUGUCUGGAGCUCAGCAGAUUGUUUUCCGGAUUUUGACAUUUAGCUGGCGUCUCACAAAGUAGCAGAGAGUUCCAAAAAGUAGCGUUCCAAUGUAAACUCCACACAUACAGAAUGGAGUCUGAUUUGUUUGCGCAUAAUCCUGAAAGCUCUUGGCAUGGAUGUGGAAGAAAUUUCUGUUCAAUGUAUUUUUGAGUGAAAAUGAACUUUGUGAGUUGAAUGAAAUUGUCCUACUUUCCUUCUAAUUCUUUCAUAGGAGCUCUCUAUGUAGGUCAAGCUGGCCUUGGAUGGAUCAUGGUCUGGAACCCCCCGCCCCCCAAACUACGCCAACCUCGAAGCAAGGAUCAGAAUGCAAGACGUAUGUACCCGGUGGUGAAGAAAGACAGCUACAGCCGGGGCAGUGGAGAGGAGAGAAGCGGGUGUCCAGGUGUCGGGGGUGCAACCCACCCACGGGUAUCCGGAGCUUCAGCCCUACGAAAACUCUGGGUACGGGGAGUGGUAACCUCGCUUCUAUUUUCAAAUAAAACUUAGUAGCACAAAGCUGAAAUACACACUGACCUUGUGGGUAGCACACAUGUGCAGGACGGAACCAGCAUCCUAACUGUAUUUCUCUAGAACUGCUGAGUGAUUUCUCCAGCUCCGCAGU